UAAAAUACAAAUCUCUAGCUAAUCUGUCACAGUUUAAUUAUCUUGAAUUGCCCAUCUUUUGUUACAGAACUAUGCUUAUUGGUAUAAUAUUUGCUGUGUUCUAGGAUGGUUACCAAGCAAACCAGGCGUCAAAUUUCCAACGUUUCAAAAUGUUAAUUCCCUGAAACCAUCUUUUACUGAAGCAACAUCUUGUCAUGGUCGGGAUGAGUGCAGUGUUUUUCCAUAGCCCUAGGGCUCCACCUCAGGCCAGAGUCUCCAUUAAGCCAUCUCACCUGUCUGCAAUCAAGCUACCCGUAUUUAAGACCAGAAUACUCAGAAGUUCUCCAUCAGAUCUACAGCUAACCAGUUCUGGUUACGCUCACUUCCCCGCUGCACUCCACCUGCCUGCCUCCCUGCCACAGCUUCUGGAGCAGUACAUUUUGGAUUCACUCAGGAGUGAAACCUCACCCAGACCUUUGGACUGCCCUCCUUCCACGCCGUACUCCACCUGCAACCUUGACUCUGCACUUCUCCGCCCGUGUGACAGCCCCUUCUUCACCCAUUGGACCACUUUCAUGGACUUUUGAAUUUAACAUUAGUUCACAAAUUACGCUUCUCGUUUCUGGUUUAGUCUCAUAGUUCACAGUUCAUCGUCGAUACCUUAAAAGUAUAGGCAUAGUUCACAGUUUAUAGUUGUCACCUUAAAGUCUUGUCUCACUUGUAAAGUAAAGCACUGUUUUCACAUCUACUUGUGCCUCUGUCUGUGUCUGGCCUAUAAGUCCUUGCACCUAGUCCGACCUCUCAGU